GACGAACGCUGGCGGCGUGCUUAAUACAUGCAAGUCGAACGGAAAGGCCCGGCUUUUGUGGCGUGCACGAGUGGCGCACGGGUGUGUAACACGUGUGUAAACUGCACCUGACUUUGGGAUAACAUCAGGAAACAGGGGCUAUUAUCGGGUAGAAGAUCCUGCUGCGUGGUGGGGAAUGGAAAGAUACGGCUGUUGGGGAUGGACUAGCGGGUUAUAAGCUUGUUGGUGGAGUAGUGGCUUACCAAGCUUGCGACGGGUAGCCUGCCUGGGCGGGUGACCGGGCACAAUGGGACUGAGAGAGGGACCAGACGCCUACGGGAGGCAGUAGGGGGGAAUCUUGCGCAGCGGGGGGGAGUCAGAUGCAGCAGUGUCGCGUGCGGGAUACUCGCUUACGGGUUGUGAACCGCUUUCGCCGGAGACGUAGCGUGAGUGACGGUAAUGGGUAAGGAAGCACCGGCUAACUACGUG
rnacentral:rRNA from 1 species